GGGGAGGCAGCAGUGGGGAAUUUUGGACAAUGGGGGCAACCCUGAUCCAGCAAUGCCGCGUGAGUGAAGAAGGCCUUCGGGUUGUAAAGCUCUUUUGUCAGGGAAGAAACAGCAGCUCUAACACAGUCUGCGAAUGACGGUACCUGAAGAAUAAGCACCGGCUAACUACGUGCCAGCAGCCGCGG
rnacentral:rRNA from 1 species